rnacentral:rRNA from 1 species
GGUUAUACCGGAUCAAGUGUGUAGGGUGAAACGUAGGUAAAUCCGCGUUUUGUGUGCCUGAGACAUGAAGUGUCGGCAGUUUUUCUGUCGUUAGAGUGAUCCUAUGCUGCCUAGAAAAUCUUCGUGAGCGAGAUAUUAGCCGCCCGUACCCCAAACCGACACAGGUGGAUAGGUAGAGAAUACUAAGGCGAUCGAGAGAAUCGUGGUGAAGGAACUCGGCAAAAUACCCCCGUAACUUCGGGAUAAGGGGGACCUGAUGCGUGACGGGGCUUUGCUCCCGGUAGCGUUGAGGGUCGCAGAGACCAGGCCCAAGCGACUGUUUACUAAAAACACAGGUCCGUGCUAAGUCGAAAGACGAUGUAUACGGACUGACUCCUGCCCGGUGCUGGAAGGUUAAGGGGAAGGGUUAGCCUUUUUUGGCGAAGCUUUGAACUUAAGCCCCAGUAAACGGCGGUGGUAACUAUAACCAUCCUAAGGUAGCGAAAUUCCUUGUCGGGUAAGUUCCGACCUGCACGAAUGGAGUAACGAUUUGGGCGCUGUCUCCACCACGAACUCGGCGAAAUUGCAUUACGAGUAAAGAUGCUCGUUACGCGCAGCAGGACGGAAAGACCCCGGGACCUUUACUAUAGUUUGGUAUUGGUGAUCGGUGUGACUUGUGUAGGAUAGGUGGGAGACUUUGAAGCUUGGACGCCAGUUCAGGUGGAGUCAUCGUUGAAAUACCACUCUGGUCACUCUGGUUAUCUAACUUAGGUCCAUUAUCUGGAUCAGGGACAGUGCCUGAUGGGUAGUUUGACUGGGGCGGUCGCCUCCUAAAAGGUAACGGAGGCGCCCAAAGGUUCCCUCAGCCUGGCAAUCAGGUUUUGAGUGUAAGUGCACAAGGGAGCUUGACUGCGAGAGAGACAUCUCGAGCAGGGACGAAAGUCGGGACUAGUGAUCUUCUGGUGGCACAUGGAAGCGCCAGGACUCAACGGAUAAAAGGUACCCCGGGGAUAACAGGCUGAUCUUGCCCGAGCGUCCAUAGCGACGGCAUGGUUUGGCACCUCGAUGUCGGCUCGUCGCAUCCUGGGGCUGGAGUCGGUCCCAAGGGUUGGGCUGUUCGCCCAUUAAAGCGGCACGCGAGCUGGGUUUAGAACGUCGUGAGACAGUUCGGUCCCUAUCCGCUGCGCGCGUAGGAGUCUUGAGAAGAGCUGUCCUUAGUACGAGAGGACCGGGACGGACUAACCUCUGGUGUGCCAGUUGUUUACCAAAAGCACGGCUGGUUGGCUACGUUGGGAAGUGAUAACCGCUGAAAGCAUCUAAGCGGGAAGCACGCUUCAAGAUGAGGGCUCCCACAGUUUAAUCUGGUAAGGCCCCCUGUAGACCACAGGGUUGAUAGGUCGGAUGUGGAAGCACAGUAAUGUGUGGAGCUGACCGAUACUAAUAGGCCGAGGGCUUGCC